rnacentral:lncRNA from 1 species
GAUUCUGGAAAUUCAGAACCUUCCUGGAAAUUACAAAGUCGUUCCACCACUGCCCAUUCAGCUGUUCACACACAAGACAGCACUAUGUGGCAAAAACUAAAAAUACACUAAAGGGCAUCAAUAAGGGACUGUGUGGAAUAUCAUAUAGCAGUUAAAAGGUGUGAGUCAGAAACAUCAGUAAAAUACAUGGAUCUGAAAUUUCUGAAUGCAGAUUAAGAUAUCUAUGUAAAAGGUAGAGCUGGAUAAGAGAAAUAACUUCUAAUGGUCUAUAGCACAGUAGCGAUCUGUGGUUGAUGACAAUUAACUUUAUGUUUUCAAAUAGCUGAGAGAGGAUUUUCAAUGUUCCCAACACAAAGAAAUGAUGUUUUAGGUGAUGGAUACACCAAUUGCCCUGAUGUAUCAUUACACAUUGUACUGUGUAUUGAAAUACCACACUGUAACCCAUAAAUAUAUACAGUUAAGUGUUGAUUUAAAAAAAAUUAAAGCCAUGUCUAUGAAACUAGAUGGAUUUUGUUUAUAGCUGUCAAAUACAUGUAUGUAACUUCCUCAUUAGACAAUAUAUCAAGAAUUUUAUGUGGUCUUGGAUCAAUAAAUCUGUAC